rnacentral:ncRNA from 1 species
UGCGAUGAGUCGAGGAAAGCCGACCAGAGAUUUUCUGGUGUGCUGUGGCACAAGACGGCUUUAAAUCGAACGCGGACACCAUUACUGCCGGAUUGCAGGGUGGCGUUGAACUUUUGAUGUGGAUAAG